ensembl:lncRNA
GCUGCAUGAUGUAAACUUGCAUCGGAUUGUAGCCUUCUCAUCUUUCAUCUGCAUAGCUCAUGUGCAUUUGGCCUUGUUCUGACGUUCAGAGGUGUGUAUGUGUCAGGCUGGCUGUGUGUUUUUAAUUGUAUGCCAGUCCGCACUGCCAUCAGCCCUCAGGAAGGGUCAGUGACAGCUCAUUCCUAACAAGUGACAUCAACAAACUGCUGCAGCCAAUCCUAUGCAAGAGCCCUCAUGCGUGUAAACAAGUGUCAGAAUAAGCAAAGCUCUCUCACUUCCACAGCAAUCAUAACAGUUCCCGAGACAAGAAUGGAAAGACAGGAAGAACAAUAUCUGCCCUUCCUUAGCUGUUUCAAGAAAGUGUGGCGAGGGGACAAGAAACGUUUAAUAGGUUAUUAUACCAAGUAGGCCUAUUAAAGCUUUUUUCCUUUUUUUUUUUUUAGAUAUUAAAAAAAAUGUUAGCCCUUAAAGUAGCUAUGAUGCCAAAUGCUUCAGUAAAAACAAAAAGCAUAUCGUUUUUGUAGCCUGUGUGUUUGUGGAAGAGAUGGGUGAUGGACUGGUGCUUAUUUAAAGUUAUUUUCAUCUUUUCCAUAACAGAAAUAAAUGUUAGUAACAUUAAAGGUGCAUUUUGUAGUCUGGUUUCACAAUCGAUGUCCAGUUUUGUGUAAAUUACACUGAUACCAUUGUGUUUCAGAGAGACGUUUACACAAUAAUUCAUGUUUAUGGACGUCUAUUGGCUUCAGACCAUUUCUCCCUCUUUGGUCGUAUGUGUAGUGAUGGGAGCAUUCAGCUUUGAAACCUUUGAGAAUUUUUUUUUAGUUGGGAGCGUGUAUGAAACUGGCUUCAUUACAUCAAAACUUUCCAUCGAAACGUUCUAAAUUCUGAUCUGGUGAACACAUUAACCAAUUAUAAUGUAGGUUCAUUUUUAAUGAAUUUUAAGAAUCUUAAUAAGCAUGCAUAUAUAGUGAAAAGUAGAAUGAUUAUUAAUUGUUUCUAAUCAGACUGAAUAGCCAAGUCCUGCCUGAAACAAGCAUACAAAAUUAUAAAAGAAAAUUUAGGCACUUCAUAUUAUAUGGUAUUUAGUGAUAUGUAAAUUACAUUCAGUACAUUAUACUUUAUUAAAAAUAAUUGUAAUUGGUUUGUAAAAGGUGUCCUUUAAGAUCACAUUGCAUUUACACCAUGGGUCCUGAGGACUGGAGUUGAGAACCACUGAUUUACACUACAUUGAUCAACAGGUGGUGUGCUGUUUUGAGAUUUUUGAAAUUUAAUAAUUUUGCGAAUCAAUUAAUUAAAGCAUUUUCUCUCUAAUCACUAUAUACAGGUACUGAUUCUCCCAUUGUCUCUGCUGGAAAGGCACGAUGUUUGUAUAAUUUUCAUUCUUUGCAUCCCCAAACAACACUACGCUAUUAGCGGCUAUGAAACUUAGUGAAACACUGCAGCUCCUGCCAUUUCAACAUGCCAAAAUACAUUUCGAUCGAUCCACACCAAACAUAACUGAAACACAUUUUAUAGAAAUCUUUUUCUAUAGUCUUUACAAAAACACAAUUUAUUUCUCCAUGUAUAAACUUUUUUAAAUUAGCACCAAACUACUAAAUGCACCUUUACGUUACAUUGGAAGGUUUUUUUAAUGAAUGUUAAACCUGUACCUUAAAAAAUGAUUUAAUUUAUCAAUUUCAUUUGAUGGCAAAUUAAUAACUAAUUUUUAGGAGAAUGAAUUUAUGUGGCAUGGGUAGCUGGUAGAGGUGUGCUAAAGAAUAAUGUGCGAGCGUUUUGAGUCUAUGUGGUCGUAUUCAUGAUAUAUUUCAGUUAAUAUGCCGUGUUUUAUCUCUCAUAUUUUAGUUAUAUUACUGCCCGAAUUGCUGGGAUGAACUCUAUGGAAAUCAAUGUGUGUUGUUCAGAAGCCCAGGAGUCAAAUGAGGUCAACAUGAAUGCAAAAAAAAAAAAAACCUUUCCGUUUAUUAUGUUCUAUGGUGUUUAAACACAUUCACUUAUCCAUGUACACACUUUUUGGAUGUAAAGCAGCAAAUGAGGUUAUAAUUCAUGGUUCAAGAACCAGUUUACUUUCCUCCCAAUGCUCAUCUGGGCAACUUCCUUUAAAGUCUUUGCAUCACUGUGAGUUUCAUGGUUUGCCACUCACCUUACUGUCCGUCAGUACUAACAUUCCAGUUUCGACGUGUUCCUCACCCCUGAAUGCCUUGUUGUCUGGCCACAGGCCUGGCGUAUCUCUUUUGUAUAGUUGCAUGCUUUUAUAGGUACAUACAUCACACAUAUCUACAUAUACAUAUCCAUUUCCAUGUUAGAUAAUGUCCCUGUGCUUGAACCCCCUAACCCUUGAUGACAAGCUGAGUAUAGAGGACAAUGUAGGGACAUAUAACCAGGGUCCUCUCUUAUUGGUUCUCCUGAUAAUGAGUGUGUGUGCUCUUACUGCCACUGUCGUCUGUGCAUUGUGAAGGUCUGCUUUCUUAUCAACCUGACGGAGCUGUAGAAGGAGUUGGAAG